rnacentral:rRNA from 1 species
AGCCAUGCAUGUCUAAGUAUAAAUAGUAUACAGUGAAACUGCGAAUGGCUCAUUAAAACAGUUAUAGUUUAUUUGAUAAUGGAAAGCUACAUGGAUAACCGUGGUAAUUCUAGAGCUAAUACAUGCUGUUAAACCCGACUUUUUGAAGGGUUGUAUUUAUUAGAUAUUAAAGCCAAUAUUCCUUCGGGUCUAUUGUGGUGAAUCAUAGUAACUGAUCGAAUCCCUUUACGGGAUAAAUCAUUCAAGUUUCUGCCCUAUCAGCUUUCGAUGGUAGUGUAUUGGACUACCAUGGCAGUUACGGGUAACGGAGAAUUAGGGUUCGGUUCCGGAGAGGGAGCCUGAGAAACGGCUACCACAUCUAAGGAAGGCAGCAGGCGCGUAAAUUACCCAAUCCCGAUUCGGGGAGGUAGUGACAAGAAAUAACAACCUGGGGGACUUUGUCCUUACGGGAUUGCAAUGAGAACAAUUUAAACGACUUAUCGAGGAACAAUUGGAGGGCAAGUCUGGUGCCAGCAGCCGCGGUAAUUCCAGCUCCAAUAGCGUAUAUUAAAGUUGUUGCAGUUAAAAAGCUCGUAGUUGAACUUCUGUACGUGCCCGGUUCUGGCUUCGGUCAAGCUGUGGUGCGUGCAUCCGCUUGCAAACUAGGCCCGGCCUUCACUGGUCGACCUAGGGAGUAGGCCUUUUACUUUGAAAAAAUUAGAGUGUUUCAAGCAGGCAAUGGCUCGAAUACAUUAGCAUGGAAUAAUAGAAUAGGACUUUUGUCCAUUUGGUUGGUUAUUGGACAUGAGUAAUGAUUAACAGGGACAGUUGGGGGCAUUAGUAUUUAAUUGUCAGAGGUG